rnacentral:lncRNA from 1 species
AAUUGGCUUGCAUUGCACCUUCCUACCCAAGCAGCUUGGUUUUCUUUCGCUUUGACCCUGUAAUUUCUUUCCCACUUCGUUGUCGUCUCUGAAUUACCUUUCUCUUGAUUCUUGCCCAUUAGCAUCCUCCAAUUUCAGAUGUUUGUAGAUCCCCAAGUGUUCCCAGGGAAAACUACUAGAAAAGGUCAAGCUGAUGCAAGAGAUGGUUUCCCAUGGUCUUGGGCAGCUCCACCCCUGUGGCUUUGCAGGGUACAAUCUCCCUCCUGGCUGCUUUCAUGGGCUGGCAUUGAGUGUCUGCAGCUUUUCCAGGUGCACAGUGCAAGCUAUCGGUGGAUCUACCUUUCUGGGGUAUGAUGGACAGUGGCCCUCUUCUUAACGGCUCCACUAGGCAGUGCCCCAGUAGGGACUGUGUGCGGGGGCCCUGACCCCACAUUUCCCUUCUGCACUGCCCUAGCAGAGGUUCUCCAUGAGAGCCCCGCCCCUGCAGCAAACUUCUGCGCGGACAUCCAGGCGUUUCCAUACAUCCUCUGAGACCUAGGUGGAGGUUCCCAAACCCCAAUUCUUGACUUCUGUGCACAGGCAGGCUCAACACCAUACAGAAGCUGCCAAGGCUUCAGGCUUGCACCCUGUGAAGCCAUGGCCCAAGCUCUACUUUGGCCCCUUUCAGCCACGGCUAGAGCAGCUGGGACACAGGGCACCAAGUCCCUAGACUGCACACAGCAUGGGGACCCUGGGACCAGCCCUCAAAACCACUUUUUCCUCCUAUACUUCCAGGCCUGUGAUGAGAAGGGCUGCCGUGAAGACCUCUCACAUGCCCUGGAGGCAUUUUUCCUAUUGUCUUGGGGAUUAACAUUCGGUUACUUGUUACUUACGCAAAUUUCUGCAACUGGCUUGAAUUUCUCGUCAGAAAAUGGGAUUUUUCUUUUCUAUCACAUUGUCAGGCUGCAAAUUUUCCGAACAUUUAUGCUCUGCUUCCCUUAUAAAACUGAAUGCCUUUAACAGCACCCAAGUCACCUCUUGAAUGCUUUGCUGCUUAGAAAUUUCUUCUGCCAGAUACCCUAAAUUAUCUCUCUCAAGUUCAAAGUUCGACAAAUCUCUAGGGCAGGGGCAAAAUGCCACUAAUCUCUUUAUUAAAACAUAACAAGAGCCACCUUUGCUCCAGUUCCCAACAAGGUCCUCAUCUCCAUCUGAGAUUACCUCAGCCUGGAUUUCAUUGUCCAUAUUGCUAUCAGCAUUUUGGGCAAAGCCAUUCAACAAGUCUCUAGGAAGUUCCAAACUCUCCGACAUUUUCCUGUCUUCUGAGCCCUCCAAGCUGUUCCAACCUCUGCCUAUUACAAAGUUCCAAAGUUGCUUUCACAUUUUUGGCUGUCUUUUCAGCAACACCCCACUCCUGGAACCAAUUUACUGUAUUAGUCUGUUUUCAUGCUGCUAAUAAAAACAUACCUGAGACUGGGCAAUUUACAAAAUAAAGAGGUUUAAUUGGACUCACAGUUCCACGUGGCUGAGGAGGCCUCAGAAUCAUGGUGGAAGGCAAGGAGGAGCAAGUCACAUCUUAUAUCAAUGUCAGCAGGCAAAGAGAGCUUGUGCAGGGAACUCCUGUUUUGAAAACCAUCAGAUCUUGUGUGACUUAUUCACUACCACAAGAACAGUAUGGGGGAAACCACCCCCAUGAUUUAAUUUUCUCCCACAGAAUUUUUCCCUCAACAUGUGAGAAUUAUGGGAGUACAAUUCAAGAUGAUAUUUGGGUGGGACACAGCCAAACCAUAUCAAUCAUCAAACAAGAAAAGAGGGAAACUUUCACAACCAAGAGAUCCCUAAAGAGGAGAAAACUGAAUGGGCUACCUUUGAAGUCCAGGGCACCCUCCUCUAUCUUGUUCACUUCCUCAUCAGGCACUAUCUAUGGACUGAGAAGAGAAGGACUUUAAAACAGUGGUAAAGAAAGCAACAAAGACAAUGACUGGCAAGACAGAAGAAUUGUGCAGAGAAAGAGGUAGAUAGAAAUGGAAGUCUGUUGUUCCCCUCUAUGUGUCUAUGUGUUUUCAUCAUUUUGCUCCCACUGAUACGUGAGAACAUGCCACAUUUGGUUUUCUGUUCCUGUGUUAGUUUGGUAAGGAUAAUGCCCUCCAGCUCUAUCCAUGUCCCUGCAAAGAACGUGAUCUCAUUCUUUUUAAUGGGUGUAAAGUAUUCCAUGGUGUAUAUGUACCACAACACCCCUGAACUUAACUUAAAAGUUAAAAAUAAAAAAUAAAAAAGGAAAAGCUGAGUUAAGCUAUACUAUCUUUGUAACUCUUCUGUAAAUCUAAAAUUCUAUCAAAAUAAAAAGUUUUAAAUGUAUUUAAAAAAGAAAUGGAAGUCUGACUUGGGAAAGCAUUAUGACAAUUCUAGCAGUGAACAUUUAACACACAUCUAAUGCCCACUUUGAGCAGUGGAGACUUGCUUAAGAAAAUUCCACUGUUCGAUAUGCAGUGGGGUAUACAGCAAUUUCCAAGACAGUCUUGCUGGAGAGAGCCUUCUUCCAGCCAUUGCAAGUUCUCCUGAUCCUCAACUGUCACAUCCUAUACCUGAAACAGAGUAGAUUUAUCUAAAGUAUUGUGUAAUCCCUGAUUGACUUUAACAUGUCUUAGCAUGUCUACAAU